GCUAUGAGAAAUUAACUAGCCACUCCAAUUAGGUUUGGCAUUGGGUCGGGUCGGGUAUGGGUUUGGGUCGAUCCGAAUCCAACCCAAUAUCCCAACAUUUGGAUCCGAACCCGACCUAUGAUCCAACGAGUCAACACUUUCUUUAUCCGCAUCCUAUCCGAUUGGAUAUCAAUUAUCUGAUCAGAUACCCACUCCACCUAAAUAAGAUUUUCUACAUGAAAAUAAAAGCAUUGAAUAAUAGCCCACUACCACUUUUUAACUCUUGAGGCUUUAACCAAGUUUAAAGGAUAUAAGGCCCAUAUUUUAUAGAACCAGUCCACAUUUGAACAAUAUAUAUACAUAAAAUCAGAUCAGAUUCGGAUCGGAUAGUAAAUCGGGGAGGCCACAACCCAAACUUGAUCCAACCUAAGAUAUAAAUUUAUUAGAUUCGAUC
rnacentral:lncRNA from 1 species